GGCUGAGCAGCUGCUGCUCCCGCAGUGGGAUCACAGCUGGGGAGUGACCGUGAGUAAAGCUUCCUCUGUGCCCAGCCAAGGGUUUUCAGUUUCCAAACCCGAUGUCAUCUCCCAGCUGGAAUGAGGGGAAGAGCCGUGGGCCCCAGAUCUCCAGGGCUCAGAGGAAAGAGAGAUCCUGAGAGGCAGUUGCAUGGCAGGUGAGGGGAUGGUCAGAGAGACCAUGGAGCAGAAGCCUCAUCAGGAAGAGGAGCAAGUGAAAGCACGUGGGGCAUUGUUGCAAAGAUGCAAAGGGAGUGUGUCCAGGAGUUGUGAGCAGGGAAAAGGUUCUCAGGGGCAGCACAGGCCAGAGAAACGGCAGGGAAACGAGCCAGAACAAAAAGUUGGAAUAUCUGUUAAUUAUUGGGGAACUCACAAAGGCCUCAAGGAAGCCACGGCUCAGCAGAGAAUCCUGACGGGAGAGAGAAAUAACACGGGCUUUGAGUAUGGGAAAAAGUUCAGGAGGCGCUCACGUCAUCAGAGAAUCCAUGCCAGAGUGAGACCUCAUGAGUGCUGCGAGUGUGGGAAAAUCUUCACCGAGCACUCAUGCCUUUUAAGCCAUCAGAGGAGCCACACGGGAGAAACCCUAUAAAUGCUGUGAGUGUGGGAAAUUCUUCUAUCAUGACUCUUCUCUUAUUUAUCACCAGAGAAGCUGCAAGGGAGAUAAACACCAUGAAAAUCUCGUCUGGGUCUCAGAAAAGAUUGCUUUUUUCCUUUUGCUAAUUCCCAAGUAGUGAACUUUAAGGGAGCAUUUGUGGCGUCUCUGCUCCUUCACGUGAGUUGUCUGCUUUUCCCUUUUGCAGCUCACCCUUCCUCGGAUGAAGCUCACAGUGUUUUUCAUCAACUCCUUUGUUCUGCGUCAUGGAAAUGUGCGUCCCUCCAGGAAUGUGUGUCAGCCCCAGGUGGGGGAGCUAGGAGAGACCUUUACUUAGUACAUGGAGGUUAAAAUCUACCUGGACCUUGACCCUGGUAGGGUCUUCCAUGGAGUUAGCUAGAUUGAGUUAGGGAUCCUGAUGUAAAAACACAACUAUUUUUUUCAGUGAAGAAAAUAGCCCAUAUAGUGGCCAGGGUAACGUAGCAAAUCUCCUCACCACAAUCUCCAUCACUUUUUGUAGUCUGUUCUCAGUGGUACCCAAUGACAGAACAAGGAGUAAUGGUCUCAAGUUGCAGAGGGGGAGGUUUAGGUUGGAUAUU